rnacentral:rRNA from 1 species
AAACUUCUUUAUCACCGAGUGCUUGCACUCACCGAUAAAGAGUUGAGUGGCGAACGGGUGAGUAACACGUGGGCAACCUGCCCAAAAGAGGGGGAUAACACUUGGAAACAGGUGCUAAUACCGCAUAACCAUAGUUACCGCAUGGUAACUAUGUAAAAGGUGGCUAUGCUACCGCUUUUGGAUGGGCCCGCGGCGCAUUAGCUAGUUGGUGGGGUAAAGGCUUACCAAGGCAAUGAUGCGUAGCCGAACUGAGAGGCUGAUCGGCCACAUUGGGACUGAGACACGGCCCAAACUCCUACGGGAGGCAGCAGUAGGGAAUCUUCCACAAUGGGCGAAAGCCUGAUGGAGCAACGCCGCGUGGGUGAAGAAGGUCUUCGGAUCGUAAAACCCUGUUGUUAGAGAAGAAAGUGCGUGAGAGUAACUGUUCACGUUUCGACGGUAUCUAACCAGAAAGCCACGGCUAACUACGUGCCAGCAGCCGCGGUAAUACGUAGGUGGCAAGCGUUAUCCGGAUUUAUUGGGCGUAAAGGGAACGCAGGCGGUCUUUUAAGUCUGAUGUGAAAGCCUUCGGCUUAACCGGAGUAGUGCAUUGGAAACUGGGAGACUUGAGUGCAGAAGAGGAGAGUGGAACUCCAUGUGUAGCGGUGAAGUGCGUAGAUAUAUUGGAAGAACACCAGUGGCGAAAGCGGCUCUCUGGUCUGUAACUGACGCUG